rnacentral:rRNA from 1 species
GAACGGAUAAGGAGCUUGCUCCUUUGAAGUUAGCGGCGGACGGGUGAGUAACACGUGGGUAACCUACCUAUAAGACUGGAAUAACUUCGGGAAACCGGAGCUAAUGCCGGAUAACAUUUGGAACCGCAUGGUUCUAAAGUAAAAGAUGGUUUUGCUAUCACUUAUAGAUGGACCCGCGCCGUAUUAGCUAGUUGGUAAGGUAACGGCUUACCAAGGCAACGAUACGUAGCCGACCUGAGAGGGUGAUCGGCCACACUGGAACUGAGACACGGUCCAGACUCCUACGGGAGGCAGCAGUAGGGAAUCUUCCGCAAUGGACGAAAGUCUGACGGAGCAACGCCGCGUGAGUGAUGAAGGUUUUCGGAUCGUAAAACUCUGUUAUUAGGGAAGAACAAAUGUGUAAGUAACUGUGCACAUCUUGACGGUACCUAAUCAGAAAGCCACGGCUAACUACGUGCCAGCAGCCGCGGUAAUACGUAGGUGGCAAGCGUUAUCCGGAAUUAUUGGGCGUAAAGCGCGCGUAGGCGGUUUCUUAAGUCUGAUGUGAAAGCCCACGGCUCAACCGUGGAGGGUCAUUGGAAACUGGGAAACUUGAGUACAGAAGAGGAAAGUGGAAUUCCAUGUGUAGCGGUGAAAUGCGCAGAGAUAUGGAGGAACACCAGUGGCGAAGGCGACUUUCUGGUCUGUAACUGACGCUGAUGUGCGAAAGCGUGGGGAUCA